rnacentral:lncRNA from 1 species
GUGCUGAACGCAUUGAAAACAAUAGAUAAUCAGCUGAAAUCCCUCAUCUGUUGUUUCUAAUGCAUUCAGCACAUGAGAAGCAAGACAUUUGAAACAGGCCUAUAAGGCCACGGUCAAACGACAAACUUUUCAUGUGCCGAACCUAAUGCAAAUGAAGUGAAACAAAGAACUUAGCUUAUUAACAUUAGGUUCGGCACAUGAAAAGUUUGACGUUUGACGCUGGCCUAACCAGGCUGACACCAUGCAGACAUAAUUUCUCAUAAAGGUAAGGUAUUUUGUAUACACGCUGUGAUUUAUCGGCACUUCGCUAUGUAAAUUAAUAUUCAGUGUUGGGAUUAGUUUCAAAUGGGUCUCCGUUAGGGUAGGAUUGUGCAUAUAUCGAGAAAACCGUACCUGUAAUUUGUCAGGCUGAUAAUAUCAUAAAAAAGCAAUGUGCAUGUGAGAUUGGCCUGACAAAUCGCAUUUACAGUCAGGGGCGGCGGAACAGGGGGGGCUAGCGGGGCUAAAGCACCCCCAGAAGUAAAAGUGGGGGGGGGGGGCUUAGCCCCCCAGAAAAUUUGAAUUUU